UACGUAGGGGGCAAGCGUUGUCCGGAUUUAUUGGGCGUAAAGAGCGUGUAGGCGGCCAGUUAGGUCCGUUGUGAAAACUCGAGGCUCAACCUCGAGACGCCGAUGGAAACCAACUGGCUAGAGUCCGGAAGAGGAGAGUGGAAUUCCCGGUGUAGCGGUGAAAUGCGCAGGUAUCGGGAAGAACACCCGUGGCUAAGGCGGCUCUCUAGUACGGUACUGACGCUGAGACGCGAAAGCGUGGGGAGCGAACAGG
rnacentral:rRNA from 1 species